GAGAAGAAGACGUAGCGGGGUGCACUCAUGAAACCUAAAUCAUAGGCUUUGUCUACAAACACCAUGACUUUGCAGCGAUGGUAGCAAUGGAAAAACUUAUAUAUUGUUUAGGUUUUUCAGAAGAUUCGGGAAAUAGACCCAAGAAUGCAUGAACAACACCAAAAAUAGGGAAAGGGAUCAAUACAUGAGAAGCUCAGAUCAUGGCCU
rnacentral:lncRNA from 1 species